rfam:Lepisosteus oculatus linkage group LG13, whole genome shotgun sequence.
GCAAGCAGCCAUAUCACCCUGCAACUCACAGUUAGCAGCCCACUGAAGCUAAGCAGGUGUGAGCCUGGUCAGUACCUGGAUGGGAGACCUCCUGGGAAAAACUAAGGUUGCUGCUAGAA